rnacentral:rRNA from 1 species
AACGAACGCUGGCGGCAGGCCUAACACAUGCAAGUCGAGCGAGGACUUCGGUCCUAGCGGCGGACGGGUGAGUAACGCGUGGGAACAUGCCCUUUGCUUCGGAAUAGCCCUGGGAAACUGGGAGUAAUACCGGAUGAGCCCUUUGGGGGAAAGAUUUAUCGGCGAAGGAUCGGCCCGCGUUGGAUUAGGUAGUUGGUGGGGUAAUGGCCUACCAAGCCGACGAUCCAUAGCUGGUUUGAGAGGAUGAUCAGCCACACUGGGACUGAGACACGGCCCAGACUCCUACGGGAGGCAGCAGUGGGGAAUCUUAGACAAUGGGGGAAACCCUGAUCUAGCCAUGCCGCGUGAGCGAUGAAGGCCUUAGGGUUGUAAAGCUCUUUCAGCUGGGAAGAUAAUGACGGUACCAGCAGAAGAAGCCCCGGCUAACUCCGUG